rnacentral:SRP_RNA from 1 species
CCGUGCUAGAUGGGGCAGUAGCGGGGCCCUGAACCCGAAAUCCGCUAUAGCGGGGUCGAAUUCCCGCUUGAGGGUCGGGCCUCUAAGGCUUGGUCCAGGCAAGUGGUGUUGACGAUUGGGUCUUGCGCAAUA